UGAAGCGCAGUGAGUUGUGAAGGCCAUGUGAAGGCAAUGAGAAGAGUGAUAUCUGCAAGCCAGGAGAGAGCCCUCACCAGAAACCUAACCAUGCUAGAUACUUGACCUUGGACUUUUUAGCCUUCAGAGCUGAGAACACAGAAUACUGCCGUAGCUAGCAGUCGCAUCUGGAUUCAUCUGGAUUAUCGUAGAGGCAAUGGUGUGGUAGAGCCAGUUCUGCAACAAAGUUUUGACU